UCCACAGACAACAUGGCGGGGCACUGGUCGAGCCAGCUGUUCUACGAUGGCCACCAGAACUUCGCACAGGAGCUGGCCGUCAUUGUGGACCAAGAAGCCACGGCCGUCUCCCCUUCAGACCGGCUCAUGAACAUAAUCACCAUUGGACUGCAGCACGAACAUGUACGAAACGGAACCCCAGACCAGCGCCCCCGAGCCAGCCAUGUAUGAGACCGCCCAUGUCACCUCCCACAAGGACAAGUGUCGUGCCGCAGCCUUCUCCAUGGACGGGAGUUUAGUGGCCACGGGGAGUGUGGACGCCUCUUUAAAGUACAUCCUGUCGUCGGGUCUGGACAGCAUUGUCAAGUUGUGGGAGCUGUCAACAGGCCGAUGCCUCAUUGCCUACACUGAUGCCAGCUCAGUGGGCCGGCAGGAGCACAGCGCACACGCCAUGUUCAACCACACCGAAGACUUUGUCAUGUUCCCGGACGAGGCCACCACCUCCCUCUGUGCCUGGGACGCUCGCAACGCCCAGAGGAAGAACCUGCUGUCCCUCGGUCACAAUGGCCCUGUGCGACACAUGGUCCACUCACCCUGCUCGCCGGCCUUCAUCACCUGCUCAGAUGACUACCGGGCAAGGUUCUGGUACCGCAGGAAUGUCCACUGAAACCCUUCAACAAGACUUUGCUGAGGGUCAAGGGAAGGGCCUUUUAUCCAAUUUUUGUUUUAUAGCAAUACAGUUGGGUGUUUCAGUUUGUACGCACCUUGUAAUUAGUACUCAUGUCAAGAAUAAAGGUACCUUGGAAAAGUAAGCGGAAUUAAAAAUAGGAAUGAUUGUCAAAGUGAAGAAUGAUUAUCAAUCUGUAUUUUGACAGCAUUAGAUACUCAAUCUUUCUUAUGCUUGUCUAGUGAAAAAUAAUAAUAAGAAGAAGAGAGAGAAUGUUAUGAGCUAUGAUUAAGUAUCUGGAGGUGUGAGAA